rnacentral:rRNA from 1 species
GACAGAGGGUGCAAACGUUGCUCGGAAUUACUGGGCGUAAAGCGCGUGUAGGCGGACCGGGAAGUCAGGUGUGAAAUCCCUAGGCUCAACCUAGGAACUGCAUUUGAAACUUCCGGUCUGGAGGAAUGGAGAGGGAAGCGGAAUUCCUGGUGUAGAGGUGAAAUUCGUAGAUAUCAGGAAGAACACCCGUGGCUAAGGCGGUUCUCUAGUACGGUACUGACGCUGAGACGCGAAAGCGUGGGGAGCGAACAGG